CUACGGGGCGCUGCAGUGGGGGAUAUUGCACAAUGGGCGAAAGCCUGAUGCAGCAACGCCGCGUGAAGGAAGACGGUUUUCGGAUUGUAAACUUCUAUCAACAGGGAAGAAAAUGACUGUACCUGACUAAGAAGCCCCGGCUAACUACGUGCCAGCAGCCGCGGUAAUACGUAGGGGGCAAGCGUUAUCCGGAAUUACUGGGUGUAAAGGGUACGUAGGCGGCUGAUCAAGUCAGAUGUGAAAGCCCGGAGCUCAACUCCGGGACUGCAUUUGAAACUGGUCGGCUAGAGUGCAGGAGAGGAAAGUGGAAUUCCUAGUGUAGCGGUGAAAUGCGUAGAUAUUAGGAAGAACACCAGUGGCGAAGGCGGCUUUCUGGACUGUAACUGACGCUGAGGUACGAAAGCGUGGGGAGCGAACAGGAUUAGAUACCCCGGUAGUC
rnacentral:rRNA from 1 species